ACACAAUUCCAUUGAACUUUAAUUUGUGUCAUAAUGAUCAGGAAUUGAUGGUGUUAAACUGAAGGAUGGUCGAGUCGUGCUAGCUUACAACACAAUCUCGAGGGGUGUUCUGAAAGUUGCAGUUUCUGAAGAUGAUGGGGACUCGUGGCAUGAUGUUGCAACAUUAGAGGAUACAUCAGGGAUGGAGUUCUCUUAUCCAGCUGUGAUCCAAGCUAGUGAUGGAUUAGUUCAUAUCACCUAUACAUACAAUAGAACUCAGAUCAAGCAUGUAGUCUUUCAGCCUAAUUAAUGAAGUAAAGAUGGCGCUCCGCUGUUGGAUGAA